CAGCAGCCGCGGGAAUACGGAGGGUGCAAGCGUUACCCGGAUUUAUUGGGUUUAAAGGGUCCGUAGGCGGAUCUGUAAGUCAGUGGUGAAAUCUCACAGCUUAACUGUGAAACUGCCAUUGAUACUGCAGGUCUUGAGUAAAUUUGAAGUGGCUGGAAUAAGUAGUGUAGCGGUGAAAUGCAUAGAUAUUACUUAGAACACCAAUUGCGAAGGCAGGUCACUAAGAUUUAACUGACGCUGAUGGACGAAAGCGUGGGGAGCGAACAGGAUUAGAUACCCCCGUAGUCCCUGUCUCUUAUAA
rnacentral:rRNA from 1 species